rnacentral:lncRNA from 10 species
CUGGGGAGGAGCUGCGGGUUCCAGAGGCAGAGCCCUGUGGGCUGGAAUUUUAGAGUAACCAUUUUGUAGAUAUCAGAUCCAAAUGAAGCUGGAUAUACAGAGAAGUGUGCCGCAGAGAGAGGAAGAAAAUGCACCACUUUUUGAUGGCUACGAUGUGCCAUAUUUUGUGACAUGGACUUUCAUAUACAUUUUCUACUUAAUAUGCACAGCGAUCCUCAAAGACAAGUGGAGACCAAUUCAAAGCCACACAUUUUAUGCUGUGAUAAUACUUUUCCAGUGUCAAAAAGAAAGGAAGAAAAUUAACAUUGACUUCAAUUUUACUUAUAUUCUUAUUUAACAACCUCUUGAGGCAGAUACUAUCUUCACUUUAUGAGGAAGUAUGAACCUGCUAAGGUCACACAAAUCAUAAAUGGUAGAGCGUGGUUAGAAUUGAGGUCAUCUGACUCUAAGGGAGUGAUCAUUUCUCCAAGUCACAGCACACAGUUCCCAGAUAUGGACAAACAUUCAUCCAAAGGAACAUCAGAAAAUUUUAUUUGGUCAGAAAUAAAUUGCUAAAGCUUACUUUCUUGGUGAUUGUCCUGGAGAAAUAGCAUCAACCAUCUUAAGUGAAUUUGCACCUUGGCAAGUGUAUGAAAAUAUGUGUAUCUAUGUGUGGGAAGAGAGAACAGCAUUGUUACCGACAUACUUCGAUGCUAAUAAACAUUUGGGCCACACCUCCCAUUGUUCCUGCCCAUGAUGGCCCUUGGCAGGACUGGAUCUGCCUUUCUGUGGUCUGAAAAUAGCUCUGAAAAUGUCACGAUCUGGUGUUUUCCCCUCAGGUGGAGGCAGCCUGAUCUACAUAGACAUGAGAUGAUGAACCUCAAGUACCACCCCAGACAACAAGGCUGCUUCAUCAGGACACAAACCUGCCUGUACCAGGACCUCUGACCUGUGUGCAGGAAACCAGCACUGAAUUCCAAGACAAAACAACCCUUCUUAAAGACAUACAAGAAACCUUGCCUGAUAUACAAAUAUAAUAACCUUAAAAAAAAUUCACAGACCUGAG